rnacentral:rRNA from 1 species
CCGUUGAAGGGUAUCCCGGGAACUGGGGAUAAUACCUCAUAGGUUACGGAGGCUGGAAUGCCCUGUAACCCAAAGCUCCGGCGCCUCAGGAUGAGUCUGCGGCCGAUUAGGUUGUUGUUGGGGUAACGGCCCAACAAGCCGAUAAUCGGUACGGGUUGUGGGAGCAAGAGCCCGGAGAUGGAUUCUGAGACAUGAAUCCAGGCCCUACGGGGCGCAGCAGGCGCGAAAACUUUACAAUGCGAGCAAUCGUGAUAAGGGAACCCCGAGUGCCUGUACACGCAGGCUGUUCAGAUGUCUAAAACACAUCUGGAGAAAGGGCCGGGCAAGACCGGUGCCAGCCGCCGCGGUAAUACCGGCGGCUCGAGUGGUGGCCGCUAUUACUGGGCUUAAAGCGUUCGUAGCUGGGCUGUUAAGUCCCCUGGGAAAUCCACCGGCUCAACCGAUGGGCGUUCAGGGGAUACUGGCAGCCUAGGGACCGGGAAAAGUGAGGGGUACUCCAGGGGUAGGAGUGAAAUCCUGUAAUCCUUGGGGGACCACCUGUGGCGAAGGCGUCUCACUAGAACGGCUCCGACAGUGAGGAACGAAAGCUGGGGGAGCAAACCGGAUUAGAUACCCGGGUAGUCCCAGCUGUAAACGAUGCGCGUUAGGUGGUAUCGGUGACCACGAGUCACCGAGGUGCCGAAGAGAAAUCGUGAAACGUGCCGCCUGGGAAGUACGGUCGCAAGGCUGAAACUUAAAGGAAUUGGCGGGGGAGCAC